ACACUCGCCUGGGUCUCCGGUUGGCGGCUCGGACGGAGUUCAUUUGCCGGGCUGAGGUGGCGGCGUUGGCGGAGGGACACACACACGCACACGCACAGCGAGCUUCGGGGCAGGAGAAAGGGGUCCCACAAACUGCAAGGAAAAGAAAAACCCUCAAGAGGAAUUACCUUUAUACCUGAUGCCCCCAACAUAAUCUCUCUCCAAGGGAAACUUGUUUUUAUUGCCUUGCGGCUGUUACGAUGACUGAAAAUGUAUUCUGGAUUCUCCCCCUUCUCUCUUUUGUUUUGCAUUUUUUGGAUGUGGUAAAACUGGCAGUUUAUCUGAUUAUCUGGUUUUCAGAACUUUGGACGAUGUCUCUGAGUGUCAUCAGUUGCUGUCUAGGUUUGACAUAGAUAAUUAAGCAACUACAAAGCGUGAUAAAGCUUUUGAGAGGGAGGAAAGUGUAUUUUGGA
rnacentral:antisense_RNA from 1 species